rnacentral:rRNA from 1 species
CCUACGGGAGGCAGCAGUGAGGAAUUUUCCGCAAUGGGCGAAAGCCUGACGGAGCAAGACCGCGUGGGGGAGGAAGGCUCUUGGGUUGUAAACCCCUUUUAUCAGGGAAGAAUAAAUGACGGUACCUGAUGAAUCAGCCUCGGCUAACUCCGUGCCAGCAGCCGCGGUAAUACGGAGGAGGCAAGCGUUAUCCGGAAUUAUUGGGCGUAAAGGGUCCGCAGGUGGUAGUGCAAGUCGGCGGUUAAAGACUGGGGCUUAACUCCAGAAAGGCCGUGGAAACUGCACAACUAGAGAUCGGUAGGGGUAGAGGGAAUUCCCGGUGUAGCGGUGAAAUGCGUAGAGAUCGGGAAGAACACCAGUGGCGAAGGCGCUCUACUGGACCGAAUCUGACACUGAGGGACGAAAGCUAGGGGAGCGAAUGGGAUUAGAUACCCCAGUAGUCCUAGCCGUAAACGAUGGAUACUAGGUGUUGUCUGUAUCGACCCAGACAGUGUCGAAGCUAACGCGAUAAGUAUCCCGCCUGGGGAGUACGCACGCAAGUGUGAAACUCAAAGGAAUUGACGG